UUCUAGUGUUGAAAUUGUCCCAAGAGAUGAGUCCUUCUUUUCUGAAAUUAACAGGUACAUAUUGUUUUGACCUGUUUCUGUAUCUAUGUAUACGAAACCCUAUUUUAGGACAUAGCCAGGCAUCUGGAACUUUUCCUUUUUCAUAGACUUCAAGAUUUUCACCAUGAUUUUAUUUCUUCUCCAUUUUGAUCAUCUGUUUUUUAUUACUAUUGCAGUCUUUACAAACAUUUUAUUCGCUGUGUGCAGAUGAUCCACAUUUGAGAAAUGUCUUAUUAAUCCUGCCUGCUCUAAUGGCUCAUUAAAAUCCAUGUCUCCCUACAGCCCUUGGUCACCAGCAUUUCUGUGAAAAUCUUAUGUCACACUGAGGAGACUUGAAAAAAAAUAAUCUUCCUUUCUCUUCAACUAGUGCUAAAGAUAUAUAGGUAUGAUAUAUUAUACCUAUGUGUGGGUAGUUAGGGUCUGGCGGCCGGAAGAUGUCGCGCUGUACGGAAAGGUGGAGCCCCUCCCUUGAUGGGCAGUAGCGUGUGGUCUGUGAUGUAAGCAAGCGGAAGUGACGUUAUGGGCCUCAGCUAUAUAACCCUAUGUGACUUGACAAUAAACACCAUUUGCCAUCCACCACAUUGGUGUCUGUGAGCCAAUGGACCGAGCGGCCUGGGGUUGGUCGCCGUGCCAUUCCUGAACCAGGUCACCACUGCCCCCUGAAGGCAACACCUAUGGCAAAUUAUAGGGCUGAGGGAAAGAUAGCAAGGCCUGAGGUGCUGCACAGUCAGAGAGCUAUUACUGGAAUGAAGAAAGAGAAAGCAGUUACCAGGAGGAGAGAAUGACUAUGUUUUCAGUUUCCCUGGAAUAUGCUAUGACCAUGGUGCUAUGAUCUGCAGAAAAACACAAUUCAUCAUGUUCCUGAUGAAAGAUGGAGACCAAAUGGAUGGGGACCAAAGGGAUGGAUCACUAAAGCAUUUCUCUUCAGUUUUUAGUGUUGGCAGAGGUAAGUAGAGAGAUGACUAGAGGAAGAGCCCUGAUAAUAGUGGGAAUCUAGCAGAAAAGGCUGCAUAAAAACAAAGACAUA
rnacentral:lncRNA from 1 species